UGUCCUACGGGGGGCAGCAGUGGGGAAUAUUGCACAAUGGGGGAAACCCUGAUGCAGCGACGCCGCGUGGGCGAGGAAGUACCUCGGUAUGUAAAGCCCUAUCAGCAGGGAAGAAACAGGACAGUACCUGACUAAGAAGCCCCGGCUAACUACGUGCCAGCAGCCGCGGUAAUACGUAGGGGGCAAGCGUUAUCCGGAUUCACUGGGCGUAAAGGGAGCGCAGGCGGCAUGGCAAGUCUGAUGUGAAAACCCGGGGCCCAACCCCGGGAGUGCAUUGGAAACUGUACAGCUAGAGUGCAGGAGGG
rnacentral:rRNA from 1 species